GGAGUCUGGACCGUGUCUCAGUUCCAAUGUGACCGUUCAUCCUCUCAGACCGGUUACCGAUCGUCGGCUUGGUAGGCCGUUACCUUACCAACUACCUAAUCGGACGCAAACCCCUCUCAAAGCGAUAAAUCUUUAAUAAAUCCAUCAUGCGAUAAAUUUAUAACAUUCGGUAUUAGCAACCCUUUCGAGCUGUUGUCCCCAUCUUUGAGGCAGGUUAUUUGCGCUUUACUCACCCGUUCGCCACUGGGUGAUUCAAAUGAGUCAAUCAGGUGCAAGCACCGUCAAUCCUCGGGAGAACCACCCCGUUCGACUUGCAUGUGUUAAGCACGCCGCCAGCGUUUAUC
rnacentral:rRNA from 1 species